rnacentral:rRNA from 1 species
GCAAGAAUGAGAUUGUUCGGCUUCAAAUUAAGCAGCUCGCAUCAUGAAUUCAUGUAUGGACUAAUUGCAGCACGCACGCAUCAACUGAACUAAACAUUGUGUCUAAUUGAUCCAGCCCAUCGACGACUGACUUGAGGCAAUGUCAACGGUGGCGCUGCUGCUGCUGCCGUGGGCGCUGGGCGAGCCGGCGGGGACGCCGUCGUCGUCUUGACCGCCUCUUCUGCUGCCGGUGCCAGCGUAGUCGUCCUCCUCGGCGAUGGGGUCGAGGCAGCUCUCUGCUGCUUGGCGGAGGAGGAGUCUCUGCAGGUGCACCACGUGGCGGGUUUCCGGCGGGGCCGCCUCGUCAGCGGCGAAGCGGCCGAGCGUGCAGGAUCUCUUGGCGGGGGCCAUGAUGACUACACUGGUGGUUGUCUUCUUGCGUGAUCAGUUCUAGUUGCAGAGAGGUUUCUUGGCCUGCUGCUGCAGCUGUGCGGUGGUGAUGGUGCAC